UGUAUUUAAAAAAAAAAUACUGCAGACCUGCAGGUAAUUAAAAAUAAAUUAAGCUCUCUGUCCCAGCUACAGGACAGCCUGAUACAAAAACAAGUACAUGACAAUGUAGACUUGGUCCAAAUUGGUCUGGGUAACCUAAAAGCCCGAUGGAAUCUUUGGCAAUGGCUUAAGCAUAAGAAAAAAUUUAAAAAUAGGAAACUACACAGCCAUAGCUAUGGGAUGCACUGAAACGCAGAUACUUGCCCUAGCUACUUUGGAACACGAAAUGUUCUGGGUCUUAUUGGGAAAUAUUAAGGGUUUGAUGCAUUUGUUAAAACAAAGAAAGAGAUCAUUGAGACCGGAAGAGCAUC